rnacentral:rRNA from 1 species
ACUCCUACGGGAGGCAGCAGUGGGAAUAUUGCACAAUGGGGGAAACCCUGAUGCAGCCAUGCCGCGUGUGUGAAGAAGGCCUUCGGGUUGUAAAGCACUUUCAGUAGGGGAGGAGAUGUGUAGUUAACACCUGCAUUAUUUGACGUUACCUACAGAAGAAGCACCGGCUAACUCCGUGCCAGCAGCCGCGGUAAUACGGAGGGUGCGAGCGUUAAUCGGAAUUACUGGGCGUAAAGCGCAUGCAGGCGGCCUGUUAAGUCAGAUGUGAAAGCCCGGGGCUUAACCUCGGAAUUGCAUUUGAAACUGGCAGGCUAGAGUCUUGUAGAGGGGGGUAGAAUUUCAGGUGUAGCGGUGAAAUGCGUAGAGAUCUGAAGGAAUACCGGUGGCGAAGGCGACCACCUGGCCAAUAACUGACACUGAGACGCGAAGGCGUGGGUAGCAAACGGGAUUGAGAUACCCUGGUAGGCUCUG